CUUCUAGCUGGAAGUUCAGAAGCCUGUGUCUCUGGGAAGGCAGAUGGCUCCUGGGUGGGGCUGGCCAGAGGAAGGCCAGCCUUCCCCAAUCUACUUGUGGGAAUCAGAAUCCUUUGUCUGCUGGAGCAAGAACUAGUUCCCUCCUUAUUUAUUCCAGCCUUUUCUUUCCAUUUUUUAUUAGUUUACCUAUGUGUUCUAUUGGAAGUUGAGGUUCAGAAAUUCCUGAUGCAAAGCAUAACUUCUUGUUUGUAUGACCUGGAGUGCCCUGAGUCCACUGAAAAUUCAGGAGGGAGAAGACAGAAAUAACAAACGAAUGGUCUGUCAUUUCUCAGGUGCACAGAAUAUACCUGAACCAUCAAGUCAGGUAGUACACAGCAGAGUAUGUUUUGCUAUCAAUUAUAUUUUGGGACUAUUUCCACUGUGCAGAGGCCUGUCACCAGAAAAAAAGGAUGAACACUGACUGUGAACACUGACUGUCAAGAUAUGUGUUCUCAAUGGCACUUUACAUCCAGAAAUGCACAAGUGCUUCAUGUGCUUCAGCUCUCACAGUACUACCUGCACAUAAAGACGGGGAAAUGGAGGAAUCAGAGGCAUUGCCUCAGGUCCCCUGCUCUGAAUUCCAGUUUCUGUUCACCCCUCCAGGAGUCAAAAAGGCAAAUGGAGAAGACAGCUUGUAGGCACACAAACAACAUCCUGGUUUUGACAGCUGCCACGUGCUGCCAAACACUCAGCCUGAUGCAUUUGCAACCAUCUGACGUGCGUGAACAACACCAGUUCUGCAGUCCUGCUCCUCUAGUUACAGCACUAGUCCCUGGAGCUUUGAAAAUACUGAAGGAUUUUGGUGAACAAGGACCUUCCUGGCCAUGCUGGCUGCAAGCUGGUCACACCUGGAGAAUAAAUAAAAACAUUGUGGCAUCCCCAGUCUUUUGGUACAGCUGGUUGUUUUAAUGAAUUCAGCAUCUCCCAUUAAAAAAAAUCAUACACAGUGCCCCAGGAAAUUCAGUUGCAUUUAUAAAUCUGGGGAUUAGCCUGCUGUAAAUACACCAGACACAGCAGUCAAACUAAACGUUGAAAGGCAAUGCUGUACCAUUACUGCAUUAAUUCACCGAGCUCAUCAGUAUUUUAAUCACCAGAUCUGGGUGACUUUUCACAACCACGUAAUUAUUAAAGCUCAGUGGGAUUCCUUAUAUCUAUUGACACUUUAUUCAGGAAGCAAAUGUUUUGCAGCAACAAUAGAUUUAUUUCCUACAGCUGUCAAAUGUUGACAGCAAUACAUACUAAUGUUUCUGAGGAGGAGCUGUUCCUCCUAUCUGGAGUGCAAAGGGCAUCUCAGAACUGCAGCCUGCAGCUCAGCAAGGCUAAGAAGCAGAUUCUGACAUUAAGAAAUUAAAAGCUAACUCAUGUUUCUCAUGGCCUGGAUAAGCCAUAGCUCACUUUCAGCCUCCCUUUACACUGAAUGUGCCAGCUGGAGUGGCUCAGGUUAGUGCAGGGAUGUGAGGAGGAAAGGCACAGGGACAGGUCUGUGUGCUCAGCUGCUCCCGAGUGCUGCCCAGUGCCUCAGCUCUGCUGUGUCCGCUGGAGGUACCAUCAGACGGAGGUGCCAUCAGGCUGAGGAGGAGGACAGAGAACACAGAAGAUGCUCUGGGAUGGCAACAUCAUGCAGUGCCUUGUCCAAGCCCUGGAGGUAAGACACGGUAAU
ensembl:lncRNA